rnacentral:tRNA from 1 species
GGGUCGUUAGCUCAGCUGGUAGAGCAGCGGACUUUUAAUCCGUUGGUCGGCGGUUCGAAUCCGCCAUGGCCUACCA